rnacentral:rRNA from 1 species
AGUGAACGCUGGCGGCGUGCUUAACACAUGCAAGUCGAACGAGAACGGAUUAUAGCUUGCUAUAAUUGUCAGCUAAGUGGCGCACGGGUGAGUAAUGUAUAGGUAAUAUGCCUCUUACUAAGGGAUAACAAAUGGAAACGUUUGCUAAUACCUUAUACUCCUUAUUAACAUAAGUUAAUAAGGGAAAGAUUUAUUGGUAAGAGAUUAGCCUGUAUUGUAUCAGUUAGUUGGUGGGGUAAUGGCUUACCAAGACUAUGACACAUAACUGGUUUGAGAGGAUGAUCAGUCACACUGGAACUGAGACACGGUCCAGACUCCUACGGGAUGCAGCAGUGGGGAAUAUUGCAUAAUGGACGAAAGUCUGAUGCAGCAACGCCGCGUGGAGGAUGACACAUUUCGGUGCGUAAACUCCUUUUAUAUGAGAAGAUAAUGACGGUAUUAUAUGAAUAAGCACCGGCUAACUCCGUGCCAGCCGCCGCUGUAACAC